GAGAGUAAUGAACCAGUGAAACGCCCAGGAAAGGGGAUUUCUGCCUGGGUGAUGGAACGAGGAGGAGCCGAGGUGGAUUUUGCCUUGGGCCCUAGAUGGGGACAUGGGACAUCUGAGCCUCCUUCUGACUCCUUCUCAGGAUUCUGCACAGGAAGAACUGGUUUGGUUGCUGUCCUUCAAAUGAUGCAUCUUAUCACAUGGGAAAAAGUAGGAAAAAAAACCCAACAAACCGUCUAGAAAGAGCCACAGGACCAGCAGAAAAAGAGGUGUGGACAGGACCAAGGACCAGCCCUGGAAGGAAUGUUAGGUCCCGAGGGGAUUGCAGGAUGGAGAAGUUUUCAUCUCCACAGUUCUGCUCUGUG